CUUUUAUUCUUUUAAUAGUUCAUGCCUGCUGUGGUCAAUAUCAUGAAGGAAAAUGCAGCAUUAGUGACUUUGAUUAAGCCACAAUUUGAAGCUCGUAGAUUUCAAGUAAGAAAAAGAGGGAUAGUGAAAGAUCCUAUUGUCCAUCAAGAGUGAAGCUCUGCAAUUGUUCUACGAAGGGAUUGGAGAACUCCAAGUCUGAGCUAAUUGUACGAUUUCCUCUGCGUAAAUAAAACAACACAAUAUUGUCAAGGUGGAGCUUGAAAAGAGAUUGCCGAAAACAAUACUCAGCGAGGAUUUAUGGGGUUGGUUGAUCAAACUUGCACUUAAAUUGCUCGUAACAUUAGCAACGUUAGCAUCAAACAAUACUUAACUAUAAAAGACAUAAUAGCAAUGGACAAGUUAUGCAUAAUUUGAGUUGAAUUUGCUGCAUAUUAUAUACAGCUGUAUUGAAUAGGUAUAACACUAUUUGAAUAUUAUAUUUAGGUAUAUUUUUACUU